GGGGAAUAUUGCACAAUGGGCGAAAGCCUGAUGCAGCGACGCCGCGUGAGGGAUGACGGCCUUCGGGUUGUAAACCUCUUUCGCUCAUGGUCAAGCCGCAACUGUGGGUUGUGGUGAGGGUAGUGGGUAAAGAAGCGCCGGCUAACUACGUGCCAGCAGCCGCGGUAAUACGUAGGGCGCGAGCGUUGUCCGGAAUUAUUGGGCGUAAAGGGCUUGUAGGCGGUUGGUCGCGUCUGCCGUGAAAUCCUCUGGCUUAACUGGGGGCGUGCGGUGGGUACGGGCUGACUUGAGUGCGGUAGGGGAGACUGGAACUCCUGGUGUAGCGGUGGAAUGCGCAGAUAUCAGGAAGAACACCGGUGGCGAAGGCGGGUCUCUGGGCCGUUACUGACGCUGAGGAGCGAAAGCGUGGGGAGCGAACAGGAUUAGAUACCCUGGUAGUCCACGCUGUAAACGUUGGGCACUAGGUGUGGGGGCCACCCGUGGUUUCUGCGCCGUAGCUAACGCUUUAAGUGCCCCGCCUGGGGAGUACGGCCGCAAGGCUA
rnacentral:rRNA from 1 species